CUGUAAAAUAAUAGUAAAGUGUAUAGAGAAGAUUAGCCCGUUCCCAUACCGAACACGGAAGUUAAGCUCUUCAGCGCCGAUGGUAGUCGGGGGUUUCCCCCUGUGAGAGUAGGACGCCGC
rnacentral:rRNA from 1 species